CCAGCUCGUCGGUGUGUGUGAGUUUUUCAGUUUUUCCGAGUGGCAGUGUGCGUGUGCGUUGGAUCUUGGGGUCGCUUUCUGGGCUAAGCAACUUGGUCAUCAUCAGUGUUCUCGGGGUUUCGACAGCGUAUAGUGUGUUUGAAACGCUAAGUGCUUUUUCCAGUUUUCUUUUCUCCUAAGCCAACAACAAAAACACAAACACCAUGGACGCCAUCAAGAAGAAGAUGCAAGCGAUGAAGCUUGAGAAGGAUAACGCCAUUGACAAGGCCGACACCUGCGAGAACCAAGCCAAGGAUGCCAACUCCCGCGCCGACAAACUGAACGAGGAGGUGCGCGACCUGGAGAAGAAGUUCGUCCAGGUGGAGAUCGAUCUGGUCACCGCCAAGGAGCAGCUGGAGAAGGCCAACACCGAGCUGGAGGAGAAGGAGAAACUCCUGACCGCCACCGAGUCCGAGGUGGCCACCCAGAACCGCAAGGUGCAACAGAUUGAGGAGGAUCUGGAGAAGUCCGAGGAGCGCUCGACCACCGCCCAACAGAAGCUGCUGGAGGCCACCCAGUCCGCCGAUGAGAACAACCGUAUGUGCAAGGUGCUGGAGAACCGCUCCCAGCAGGAUGAGGAGCGCAUGGACCAGCUGACCAACCAGCUGAAGGAGGCCCGCAUGCUCGCUGAGGAUGCCGACACCAAGUCCGACGAAGUGUCCCGCAAGCUGGCCUUCGUUGAAGACGAGCUGGAGGUGGCUGAGGAUCGUGUCCGCUCCGGCGAGUCCAAGAUCAUGGAGCUGGAGGAGGAGCUGAAGGUUGUCGGCAACUCCCUGAAGUCCCUGGAGGUGUCCGAGGAGAAGGCCAACCAGCGCGUGGAGGAGUUCAAGCGCGAGAUGAAGACCCUGUCCAUCAAGCUGAAGGAGGCCGAGCAGCGCGCCGAGCACGCCGAGAAGCAAGUGAAGCGCCUGCAGAAGGAGGUCGACAGGCUAGAGGACCGUCUCUUCAAUGAGAAGGAAAAGUACAAAGCAAUCUGCGACGAUUUGGACCAGACAUUUGCCGAACUUACUGGAUAUUAAAAAGAUCGAAACAGAACUCACACAGAGCCCUUUCCCAAAAGAUACAAAAAGACAACACACCUUCAGUGCUCCCCCACAGUUUAUAUAUAUAUUUAUAAUUUUUUGAAAGAUCCCCCGACAGUUUCAGUGUAUUUACCAAACACCCACCCACCCAACACACUUCUGUCACCAACAUACACUGUAAAUAAUCUGUUUAGUCUCGCUUGAAUGUGGCCACACCCACAGUUCCCUACGAGUUUCCCACGCCAGUACACUGUAAAAAUAAGUUCAGAUCAAGCCAAACCAAGUUGCAACUGUAGUUAAUACAGACGAGUUGGGCAUCAACAAGGACAGGUACAAGUCCCUGGCCGACGAGAUGGACUCCACAUUCGCCGAGUUGGCUGGCUACUAAGGUGGCCCAUAGACCCAGAAACCAACACCAACACCAAAACAACAUCGAGCUGCAGCGGAGGAAGAUGGAGACGACGAGGAACUCUACUAAUUGUAAACGAAUAUCUCAGAUUGAUUUGGCUAGCGACAAGAACUGCAGCCGCAGAUACCAAGAACAACAUCCAUUGUGUAUACAAUUCUUUAUAAAUCUAUAUAUUUCAUAAUAAAUAAAUAACAACAACAACCAGAUCAACAACAGCAACCAACAACAAGCAUAGAUUGUGUAGAACCAAGGAUAACAGCAAACGGAAAUUCUUUUGUUUUAUAAAAAAUGAAAUUAUCUUAAAGUAAAAAGUAGCAGAAUGUAAAAAACAAACCAAAAACACGAAUUUUGUAUUUUUAAAGCCAUUGUUUAAAAAUAUUAAGAAGCCAGGUGAUACGAGAGAGAAAGCCAGGGAGAGUGCUCGAGAAAGAGACAGAGAAAUAUCUAAGAAUGUAAGAAAAAGCCUGCUUCAACUUGAAUUUAUAUCUUACAAUUACACAACAAAAAAAACCACCCACAAAACAAGUAUAAAAAAAUUUAUAAAAACUUUGCUAAAAAAAUUA